CGGGGUGCAGCAGGCGCGAAAACUUUACAAUGCCGGCAACGGCGAUAAGGGGACCUCGAGUGCCAGGUUACAAAUCUGGCUGUCGUGAUGCCUAAAAAGCAUUGCAUAGCAAGGGCCGGGCAAGACCGGUGCCAGCCGCCGCGGUAACACCGGCGGCUCGAGUGGUAACCGUUAUUAUUGGGUCUAAAGGGUCUGUAGCCGGCCGGAUAAGUCUCUUGAGAAAUCCAGCAGCUCAACUGUUGGGCUUUCAGGAGAUACUGUUCGGCUCGAGGCCGGGAGAGGUGAGAGGUACUUCAGGGGUAGGGGUGAAAUCUUGUAAUCCUUGAAGGACCACCAGUGGCGAAGGCGUCUCACCAGAACGGACCUGACGGCAAGGGACGAAAGCUAGGGGCACGAACCGGAUUAGAUACCCGGGUAGUCCUAGCCGUAAACGAUACUCGCUAGGUGUCGGCCACGGUGCGACCGUUGUCGGUGCCGUAGGGAAGCCGUGAAGCGAGC
rnacentral:rRNA from 1 species